rnacentral:lncRNA from 1 species
UAUGGCACUGGAACUCUUCCACUCGUAUCUUUAUAAUGAGGCUUUCCACAAAAUUUGCAUGUAACCCGCUGUUCAUCCACCCUCCAAUAAAUCAUGCAGUUGUCGCUGCUUACAUCUAUUACCUGAUAUGAUAAACCAAGACCAGCUACGAGUUUCUGAACCUCGUAGUAUGAACCAGGAGCUACAUUAUCCUCGGGUAGAAUACCUUUUACAAAAUCAGCAAUCGCAUCCACACCGUCUUCAGCCAAAUUAUAAUCUGUUUUAAU